CCACAACGCAGGGAUGCUUUACACAUGCAAGUCGAACGGCAGCACGGACUUCGGUCUAUGGCGGAGUGGCGAACGGUGAGUACGUAUCGGAACGCUCAGUAGCGGGGGAUAACUACGAAAGCGUAGCUACUACCGCAUACGCCCUUCGGGGAAAGCGGGGACCUUCGGGCCUCUGCACUAUUAGAGCGGCCGAUAUCGGAUUAGCUAGUUGGUGGUAACGGUCACCAAGGCGACGAUCCGCUGGUUUGGGAGGACGACCAGCCACACUGGGACUGAGACACGGGCCCAGACCCUACGGAGGCAGCAGUGGGGAAUUUUGGACAAUGGGGAAAUCCCUGAUCCAGCCAUUCCGGGCGUGCGAUGAAGGCCUUCGGGUUGUAAAGCACUUUGGCAGGAAAAGAAACGGCACGGGAUAAUACUCCCGUGCAACUGACGGUACCUGCAGAAUAAGCACCGGCGAACAGCGGCCGGCCUGCCUUACACUGCUAUGGAAGACUGAAUUACUGGCGGAAGCGUGCGCAGGCGGUUCGGAAAGAAAGAUGUGAAAUCCCAGAGCUUAACUUUGAACUGAUGACCUACUGGUUUGAGUGAAGUCAGAGGGAAAUGGAAUUCUUCGCGUGUAGCAGUGAAAUGCGUAGAUAUGGAGACAACGACAGAAGGCAGCCUCCUGGGAUAACACUGACGCUCAUGCACGAAAGUAGAGAUAAAGACUAGAUACCCUGGUAAUCCACGCUCAAAUGAUGUUAACUAGCUGUUAGCCUUCGCCUUGAAAGGCAGCUAACGCGAAGUUGACCGCCUGGGGAGUACGGUCGCAAGAUUAAAACCAAUAAUGAUUGUGACCCACAAGGGUGGAGAUGCGGACACCUGAUGCACGCGAAAAACCCCAUCUACCCUUGACAUGUUCGAACUGAAGAGAUUUGGGAGUGCUCGCAAGAGAACCGGAACACAGGUGCUGCAUGGCUGUCGUCAGCUCUCGUGUCGUGAGAUGUUAGCAGGAGUCCCAGAAGGUUAACCCUUGUCAUUAGUUGCACAGUGCGCACUCUAAUGAGAUUGCCGGUGAUACAAACCGGAGGAAGGUGGGGAUGACGUCAAGUCCUCAUGGCCUCUUAUGGGUAGGGCUUCACACAUCAUACAAUGGUCGGGACAGAGGGUCGCCAACCCGCGAGGGGGAGCCAAUCCCGUGAAACCCGAUCAGCCCGGGAUCGCAGUCUGCAACUCGACUGCAGUCGGGAAUCGGCAGGACUGCGGAUCAGCAUGUCGCGGCAGGAAUACGUUCCCGGGUCUUGGCGCACCUGCCCGUCACACCAUGGGAGUGGGUUUUACCAGAAGUAGUUAGCCUAACUGUAAGGAGGGCGAUUACCACGGUAGGAUUCAUGACUGGGGUGAAGUCGUAACAAGGUAG
rnacentral:rRNA from 1 species